AGUCGAGGGGUAAGGAGAUAGCAAUAUUUCCCUAGACCGGCGCACGGGUGAGUAACGCGUAUGCAACCUGCCCUUUACAGGGGGAUAGCCCGGAGAAAUCCGGAUUAAUACCCCAUGGAUCUGCAACCUCGCAUGAGGAAACAGGUAAAGCUGAGGCGGUAAAGGAUGGGCAUGCGUGACAUUAGCUAGUUGGUAAGGUAACGGCUUACCAAGGCUACGAUGUCUAGGGGUUCUGAGAGGAAGGUCCCCCACACUGGUACUGAGACACGGACCAGACUCCUACGGGAGGCAGCAGUGAGGAAUAUUGGUCAAUGGGCGCGAGCCUGAACCAGCCAUCCCGCGUGCAGGAAGAAGGCCCUAUGGGUUGUAAACUGCUUUUGUGCAGGAAUAAAUGUACCCUCGUGAGGGUAUUUGAAGGUACUGCGUGAAUAAGCACCGGCUAACUCCGUGCCAGCAGCCGCGGUAAUACGGAGGGUGCAAGCGUUAUCCGGAUUUAUUGGGUUUAAAGGGUGCGUAGGCGGUAUUUUAAGUCAGUGGUGAAAUGUUGCAGCUUAACUGUAGAAUUGCCAUUGAAACUGAAGUACUUGAGUUAUCUUGAGGUAGGCGGAAUGUGUAGUGUAGCGGUGAAAUGCUUAGAUAUUACACAGAACACCGAUUGCGAAGGCAGCUUACUAAGGAUAAACUGACGCUCAGGCACGAAAGCGUGGGGAU
rnacentral:rRNA from 1 species